UUACAGAAAGCGGUCUGUCGUUUUCAUAUGCCAAAACAAGUGUAGGGAGAUAUUUCGUAUUGUAUUUUUUAUUACAUGUGAUGUUCUGAACUCUUAAAAAUACUCGCAUCUUCUUUUAUUUUUUUCAGACCUGAAAAAUGGCCAGGCCUAAACAGCCAGGCCUCAGACCACGGUGCCGAGGCGCUCUGACGGAGUCCACCAGGACGAAGAGAAAUUCAGUAAGUUAUGAUUUCACAUUUAGUCAAUAGUGAACACUGGCAUAUUUGUAAGGAAAACUGAACUUCCCGUUAUUUUAUUUAAUUUGUUAUAACGCAGUACAGCAAGGCAGACUGUGGAAAGCAGUAGAGAUCGACAACAUGGCGGACGGAGGACGGAUUUGAGGAGUCAUGAAGCCGACUCCACAGAAUGGGAGUCACAUUUGUGUCAAUCAGACUCUUCAGGAACGUCCUGAUAUCCGUGACGAGGACAGAGAUGCAACUGUGUCUGCAUCCAGGACCUACUGCCAGUCUUCCGGAUGUAGCUAAAGAAAGAAGCAGGUAAGAUUUAUUACUAAUCUAGAGAUGUCACAAUUCCUUGAAUGAUUAAAGCACUGUGAUUUAUUAAAAUCCAUCAAAGCAAAUUAUCUGCCUCAGAGUUUGUUGAACUAUGUUUUACUAUUUAUUACCAAC